rnacentral:rRNA from 1 species
UACGAAGGGGGCUAGCGUUGUUCGGAAUUACUGGGCGUAAAGCGCGCGCAGGCGGCUAUCCAAGUCAGUGGUGAAAGCCCGGAGCUCAACUCCGGAACUGCCAUUGAAACUGUUUAGCUGGAGUAUGAGAGAGGUGAGUGGAAUUCCCAGUGUAGAGGUGAAAUUCGUAGAUAUUGGGAAGAACACCGGUGGUGAAGGCGGCUCACUGGCUCAUUACUGACGCUCAUGCGCGACAGCGUGGGGAUCAAACAGG